rnacentral:rRNA from 1 species
GUUCUCAGUUCGGACUGUAGGCUGCAACUCGCCUACACGAAGCUGGAAUCGCUAGUAAUCGCGGAUCAGCACGCCGCGGUGAAUACGUUCCCGGGCCUUGUACACACCGCCCGUCACACCAUGAGAGUCUGUAACACCCAAAGCCGGUGGGAUAACCUUUAUAGGAGUCAGCCGUCUAAGGUAGGACAGAUGAUUAGGGUGAAGUCGUAACAAGGUAUC